UACGAAGGGGGCUAGCGUUGCUCGGAAUCACUGGGCGUAAAGCGCACGUAGGCGGAUCUUUAAGUCAGGGGUGAAAUCCUGGAGCUCAACUCCAGAACUGCCUUUGAUACUGGCGGACUCGAGUCCGGGAGAGGUGAGUGGAACUGCGAGUGUAGAGGUGAAAUUCGUAGAUAUUCGCAAGAACACCAGUGGCGAAGGCGGCUCACUGGCCCGGUACUGACGCUGAGGUGCGAAAGCGUGGGGAGCAAACAGG
rnacentral:rRNA from 1 species